UAACACCUAGGAAACAGAUGCUAAUACCGGAUAACAAUAGAUGAUGCCUAUCAACUGUUUAAAAGAUGGUUCUGCUAUCACUCUUGGAUGGACCUGCGGUGCAUUAGCUAGUUGGUAGGGUAGCGGCCUACCAAGGCGAUGAUGCAUAGCCGAGUUGAGAGACUGAUCGGCCACAUUGGGACUGAGACACGGCCCAAACUCCUACGGGAGGCAGCAGAU
rnacentral:rRNA from 1 species